UACGUAGGGUGCGAGCGUUAAUCGGAAUUACUGGGCGUAAAGCGUGCGCAGGCUGUUUUGUAAGUCAGAUGUGAAAUCCCCGAGCUCAACUUGGGAACUGCGUUUGAAACUACAAGACUAGAAUAUGUCAGAGGGGGGUAGAAUUCCACGUGUAGCAGUGAAAUGCGUAGAGAUGUGGAGGAAUACCAAUGGCGAAGGCAGCCCCCUGGGAUAAUAUUGACGCUCAUGCACGAAAGCGUGGGGAGCAAAC
rnacentral:rRNA from 1 species